AUGAAAGCCAUCACCUCUCCACCACCUGAUGCAGGGAUGGGGACCAGGGGACAACCUCAGGCCUCAGUGCCUGGCCUGGGCAAGCUGGUGGGCAGCAAGACUCCUCAUCUUGCCAGCUUCUGGCAAGACAGCAGAAAGUCCAUGGCACCUCAGAGGGACCAGAGCAGGGGACUGGAAGGCACAAGGACACAAGAAGGGCAAGGAAGGCAGUACACCGCCAGCUUUAAGUCAAUUUACAUAUUGAGAAGGACCGUCUGCUGCCCAACAGAUAUCAACUCUACUCAAGGGGAAAAGAGAACGCACAGGCUACCUAUCUGCAUAAGUGCUACAGAGUUCUACACUUGGCAGUGCCUACAUUAAACACUCUUACCCUAGAAGUAACACGGGCAUUUUCCUGUUUCAUCCGCUUUUGAAGAUAAAUGUUGGAUCCAGGUGAACAAAGCAGGAAGAAGGCACUCAUAUGCCAGGAGCUAAUAAACAAAUGCUUAUCCUGCCCUGCA
rnacentral:lncRNA from 1 species